UACGAAGGAUGCAAGCGUUAUCCGGAUUUAUUGGUUUAAAGGGUGCGUAGGCGGACUUAUAAGUCAGUGGUGAAAUCUCGAUGCUUAACAUCGAACGUGCCAUUGAUACUGUAGGUCUUGAGUACAGAUGCCGUUGGCGGAAUGUGUCAUGUAGCGGUGAAAUGCAUAGAUAUGACACAGAACACCGAUUGCGAAGGCAGCUGACGAAACUGUAACUGACGCUGAGGCACGAAAGCGUGGGGAUCAAACAGG
rnacentral:rRNA from 1 species